rnacentral:rRNA from 1 species
UUAUUGGAGAGUUUGAUCUUGGCUCAGGACGAACGCUGGCGGCGUGCCUAAUACAUGCAAGUCGAGCGCGUGAAGCUUUUCAGAACUCUUCGGAGUGACGAAAGGUGGAACGAGCGGCGGACGGGUGAGUAACACG